rnacentral:rRNA from 1 species
GACAGAGGUGCCGAGCGUUAGGCGGAAUCACUGGGCUUAAAGCGUGUGUAGGCGGGUGCCUAAGUACCUUGUGAAAUCCCACGGCUCAACCGUGGAACUGCUUGGUAUACUGGGUGCCUUGAGCUAUCUAGGGGCAACUGGAACAAACGGUGGAGCGGUGAAAUGCGUAGAUAUCGGGAGGAACACCGGUGGCGAAGGCGGUUCUCUGGGCCUUACCUGACGCUGAGGAGCGAAAGCGUGGGGAGCGAACAGG